rnacentral:rRNA from 1 species
GAUGAACGCUGGCGGCGUGCUUAACACAUGCAAGUCGAACGAGAUGUUUCCCUUCGGGGUUGCAUCGAGUGGCGAACGGGUGAGUAACACGUGGGCAACCUGCCCCUCACACUGGGAUAACUAAGGGAAACUUUAGCUAAUACCGGAUACUCCGCGAUGAUCGCAUGGUCGUCUCGGGAAAGCUCCGGCGGUGAGGGGAUGGGGCCCGCGGUCCAUUAGCUUGUUGGUGAGGUAACGGCUCACCAAGGCUGCGAUGGGAUAGCCGGGCUGAGAGGCCGAUCGGCCACACUGGGACUGAGACACGGCCCAGACUCCUACGGGAGGCUG